CCGCUGACAGGCAACUUCGUCAGCACUUGAUAUAAGAUUUUAAUAUCAUCUGUCAGCUUAGAAUCUGCUCCUGUUUGGCGCCCACUGGCUAAAUGCAAAACCAGAAAACCCGUUUCGGUUUCUGGAGAAGAAGCCAUUCGAGAUCAGAACCUGGAAAGCUGAGGGAUACAAACAAAGAAGAGCUAAAAAGUGCAUCCCAAGUUACACUGAAUCGCAACGAGGAAAUAACCAAUGUGUUGAUUCGAGAUUAGCUAAUUGAAAGCUUAAAUAUGCAUGCCAGUCUACCCGCGGCUCAACUUAUGCUAAUUUCCCGUCGACUGUCAGAUUUAAAUUCUAUUCCAUGUGUUGUAGUCCGUGACGUCAGGUGGCACAUCGAAUUGCCGUGACCUUUGACCUCAGAAAGCGCCCUUAGCAUACCGAAAAAUUGACUAAAACAAGUCUUGAGGUACCCACUAAAUCAUCAAUUGGAUACAAAUAAAUCGCCAAUUCCUGACAGACAACUAAUCGUUUAAAAAACUCGAAAUGUGUUCAGAACACAGACGUCAUUAGCAGCCACAAAAAGCGUCGAAAUUAAUUAACGUUCUUAGUCAGAUUUCAAUGUUUUUGGCAAUUAUUACUUUAGUGCUUGAGGUGAUCGAUUUUGUUUUCUUUAUGUGGUAUAUAAUAAUAUAUUAUAAGGGUAUUCCUAAACAGGCUUA